CUUCCCGCUGGACUUGCUUCCCGGGUCCGAGGGCAGGAGCCGGGCUACCCGGCACGUGCACGUCUGCGCACGAUCCUUCACACUCAGACGCGCACUUCCACUGUGCCGCUCUCUUUGGCGAAGGCACUCGCUCCUUCCACCACGCAGCUGCCUCGGUGCGUCCUCCCCUCUCACGCGCGCACACACUCGCACCUCCCGCAGCCAGAUCCGAUCGCGCUCAGAAGACGCGCGAGCUCGUCAAAAGUACUUUCUCACGACCAGUGCAGCGCGGGAGAAAGAGAGCCCGCGGCCCCAGGAAACUGCCAGAAGAGUUUUCUCGGCAUCGACCUAUCUCGGGAGAGGAAACGGAGCGCCUUGCCGGGACUGAGUAUCGCUUCUUAGGACCUGCCAACUGAUCAGGAAAAAGGUGAACUGGCUAGCUCUUGCGCACCGAACUGCAGCAUGGUCCAGCUUUCCCCAUCACUGGACAGCCAUGCUGAGAAGUGCUGCUUUUGUUGAACCCUUGCCUGUCACACUCAGCGGCUGAAGGCACAAGACCUCUGUCAGAAAAGAAAAUGGCAAUCUGCUUCCCCCCUUGUGUCUUCCCCUAAACUCACCCAAUCUGGCACAAAGAAAUGCUAAUUCAAAUGCUAAAUUACUUUCAGGCAGUACUGUGAAUCUUUUGACAAAACAAGCAUGAUCCAGAGCACAGCAUUUGCAGGAUAUGAAACCCAGCACCAUGUAAAGGAGGAUGUACCUUGUUUACCUCAUCUGCAAACCAACCCUCAUCCAAGGAGCUUGGGGAGUUUGUCCUAUAUUAUCCUCACACAGAGCUGGAUGUAUACAAAAGCUAAGUAAGUGACAAUUUAGGACCUCAGAUUAGUAGGAAACUGCAAUUAAAAAUGAACAAACCGCAAAAUUACUAAAUUUUCCUUUUGAGUGGGGAUAAUGCUAUGCGGGGGAAUUUGACACAGCUUCAGUCCUCAGCAUGUCUUAGUCCAGCCCCACCCUCACAAUUGUGUAUUGUGUUCAUUUGUUAGCUUCGCAGGGGUUUUAACCGGGGUCUCCCCACCGCACACCACUGGCUCUGUAGAAUAUUUACCUUUCCAAGACAUGUAAAUACUAUUUUUGAGGGACAUUUCAGCUGGCUAUUUUUCCAUUUGGAAUAUGCUUGCAGGUUUUGACUUGAGUAUGAGUUGGGGGGCACUGGUCACUUUUAAGUAUUUAGCCCUUACUUGUGUGUGGGGGGGGGUUGAUUGUUUAAUUUUGUGGUGUUUUAUUCGUUGUUGGUAUUCCAUGUUCUUUUUAAAACAAUUCUAUUGGUCAUGAUGACUAAUGUUUAAUUUCUAUUGUUGGUUGCCUUGAGAGUACCACUGACAGGCAGGGUGUAAAAUGUAAAAAUAAAGAAGAACAAGAAUAAAUAUUGGCGUCUCUCAUCAUUGUGAGGAUCCUGGCCGGUGUGGCUAUUCUCUCCCCCUUUGACAUUCUGAAAUGACAAGGCCUACCUGCCAAACAACUGUGCUGAUGUCGAAGGUCCCAGGAACCUUGCCCUCUGUUCCA